UCGUGCGAGAGACUACUUCCGGUAUGACGUCACUUUGUUGACAGUUUGAUCGGUUGUAGAUUUUCUGAUACGAGAGUGAAAGCCGGUUCGAGCCGAGAUAUCCUCCGUCACUGAUGGUGCUGUUAAAUCAUCGUUGCUGAGUCCACCAUGUCCAAGCAGCGUCGCUACGGCUAUUUCCGGUGUCCUGACUGCAACAGUCACUGGGAGAGUUCCCAUGUCUACUGCUACGGUUUCACGCCGCUGUACGAGCAGGACUGCAAGUCAUGUGACACCUCCUGUCUACCCUACCGUGUAGAGAAACUCAUCUGCUCCGUAUGCAAAAAACAUAAUUGCACAUGUACAAAAGAAGACCGAAAAAAGAGGAACAUCGACCCCAACAAACCACACCGAUCUGACCUCUGUCACAAGUGCCAGUCAGGCGACCCCUGUUAGCUUCUGAACGGCCUCAGGACGUCGAGAGACAGGGGACCAGUAAUAACUGUGAAAUGAACUCCUGUAGUAUGAUUGAUAUUUCAGCUUUUUGUACUUUUUGUACUUUUGUACUUUUGUAUUAUUUACACGUUACACAUUGUAAUGAACAAAAAUAAGGGAACACUGCUGUUUACAAUAAAACAACGGCAUGCUGCAAAUUAUGUUACAGGGGAAUAUUCCCCCUUAUGGUGUGUUGAAUUCAUUGCCAAAUGGUAUCUUUAGGCAUUCUUCUACGGUUCCCUUAUAUUUGUCCACAGUAUAUACACACUCUCAUCAGCCGCUGGUUGUUAACUGUAUUCCGUUUCCAGGACCUUUACAAAAUAUAUCUUUCCUACCUACGUUGAUUAUCCAACAAGACCUUGUUUCUGUGUGAUAUUCUUGAAAUCAUUCCAUGAUUAAAUCUUAAAGUACA